rnacentral:rRNA from 1 species
GACGAACCGUGCGAACGUUGUUCGGAUUCACUGGGCUUAAAGGGCGCGUAGGCGGGCGGUCAAGUCGGGGGUGAAAUCUUUCAGCUUAACUGGAAAAGUGCCUCCGAUACUGAUCGCCUCGAGGGAGGUAGGGGCAUGUGGAACUUCCGGUGGAGCGGUGAAAUGCGUAGAUAUCGGAAGGAACGCUGGUGGCGAAAGCGACGUGCUGGACCUCUUCUGACGCUGAGGCGCGAAAGCUAGGGGAGCAAACGGG